ACGUAGGGUGCGAGCGUUAAUCGGAAUUACUGGGCGUAAAGCGUGCGCAGGCGGUUCGCUAAGACAGGUGUGAAAUCCCCGGGCUUAACCUGGGAAUGGCGCUUGUGACUGGCGGGCUGGAGUACGGCAGAGGGGGGUGGAAUUCCACGUGUAGCGGUGAAAUGCGUAGAGAUGUGGAGGAACACCGAUGGCGAAAGCAGCUCUCUGGAGCGUUACUGACGCUGAGGCUCGAAAGCGUGGGGAGCAAACGG
rnacentral:rRNA from 1 species